UGAAAUGCGAUAAGUAAUGUGAAUUGCAGAAUCUCGUGAAUCAUUGAAUCUUUGAACGCACAUUGCGCCCUAUGGUAAUCCGUAGGGCAUGCCUGUCUGAGCGUCAGCUCACAUCCUCAAACUAAUUUUUUUUAGUUUGGAUGACAUUGGGAAAGCAUUUCAUUAGUAUAUGCUUCCCAGAAAUCUAUAGGCGGUACGGUUCCAACAAAACCAAGACGUAGUAAAUUUUAUUUCGUCUUUUCUUUGUUUAAUGGAUCUGUUGGCUUGCCUUUUGAACCCACAUUUCAUUCUUUGUAGGAAUGACCUCAGAUCAGGUAGGGAUACCCGCUGAACUUAA
rnacentral:misc_RNA from 1 species